UGUCAGCAGCCGCGGUAAUACGAAGGAUCCAAGCGUUGUCCGGAUUUACUGGGUUUAAAGGGUGCGUAGGCGGACUUAUAAGUCAGUGGUGAAAGCCUUCAGCUUAACUGAAGAACUGCCAUUGAAACUGUAAGUCUCGAGUUCGGUUGAGGUCAUUGGAAUGUAACAUGUAGCGGUGAAAUGCAUAGAUAUGUUACAGAACACCAAUUGCGAAGGCAGAUGACUAAACCGAAACUGACGCUGAGGCACGAAAGCGUGGGGAUCAAACAGGAUUAGAUACCCUGGUAGUCCACGCCCUAAACGUUGAAUACUCGACCUUAGCGAUAUACAGUUAGGGUCCAAGCGAAAGCGUUAAGUAUUCCACCUGGGAAGUACGUUCGCAAGAAUGAAACUCAAAGAAAUUGACGG
rnacentral:rRNA from 1 species